rnacentral:lncRNA from 1 species
AGGUGGCCUCCCUGGCCGCGGUGGCCAGCGUGCUGCAGUCAUGGGACCUGAGCCUCACAGAAGCUAUGCUCAAGAACAUGGAGGCAGAGCAGCAGCGCCGUGCUCAGGAGGCCCAGAAGCACAAGGAGAACGAGGCCAAGCGGUGAGCAGAGGGGAGGGCGUGCCUGGGGCCGGGUUGGAGGUACGUGGACCACUGAUGGUGUGGAUGACUGACCAGCCUGCCUCUUUCCUCUGCAGCAUCAACAUCAAGGUGCAGCAGCUGGCUAAGGAGCAGCAGAAGUGUCAAAAGGAGGUGAUCUGUGACCCAGGCCUCCCUGCAGGAAGGAGAGCCACGGGGAGGGCCUGAGAGAUCGGGGAGGGGGUGAGUUGCUGGGGUCUGUAAAGCCUCUCUGCCACCAGCUCCAGCAGGCCUACUGUGAGCUCAAUCGGAGGAUCAUGGAACAUGACAAGUGUGAGAGGAAGUUCAUGGGCAAUACCGAACUCACACUACAGGUGGGGCCCUUACAGACAUUGUGCUCCCCACAUCUCCCCAUGAUGCUCCCUGCGUCAGCCUGGGGGCUCCCCUUCCAAGGAAAAUUUCAGGCAUCUCUGCCCUCCAAACCUUCCUGGGGGCAUGGAUAGAGCCGGGAGAGGAGGUCCUGGCAGGCACUAACUCAUGUGUCUGGGUAGCCAACGCCACCCUGACCCUUCCACAAAGUAUGCGGUAGCUCCGAGGCGAUGGGGAGAGCAAUGGUCAGCAUGACCCCUUCUUUAGGCCAUCAAGGAUGCAGAGGCCCAAGUGGACAGAUUGCAGCAAGAGGCACAGAAGGCUGAGGAGACACUGGCCAUGGCCAGGCUGGAGCUGCGGGAACAGACUCCGGAGGGUGGGCAGGGCUGUGGUGGGGGAGCUGGGGGACCCGAAGAGGCAAUGCCAGGGUGGGGACUUAGCAGCGGGAUCUCCCAUGCUCUGCAACUAACACCUCCACAGACGAGGAUACAGAACCUGGGCUCAAGUGCCGGGUCACGGAGCUCCAUGACGUGCUGAUGAAGGACGUAGGGGAUCGCAUCCGAGCCGAUGGACGCCACUUUCUUGAGAUACCAGGACACCAACUAUGUGGACACCCUAAAUCCGGAGCACUUGAGACCUGAGAGGAUUCGGCUGGCUCUCCUGGGGGCACUCAGGUGUGUCAGGCAGGGCCCAGGACAGCCCCGCCCUGGGCCUUACCUGCCUCCUCACCAGACACACCUACAGGUACGGGAAGCCACUGGUGUUUGACCUGCGUCAAGUGAACCUGUUCCCAGUAGUACAGCAACAGCUGGAGGUCGUGCAGACUGGCCUGGCACAGGCCCUGUUGAAUCGUGGGCUGCUGGCAAAGGAAGGGUAUCUGUCACUGCUUCGGCCAACAGAUGGACCUGAGUAUGACCCCUCCCAGUUCCAAGAGGCUCGCCUAGAGAACUUCCGCCUCUUCUUUGUCACCCAAGUUAAGUGGCCCCCAGCUGACCAGCUGCAGACCCUGCUCCCAGUGCGUGUGCAGAUGCCCAGUGGAAGGUUCUAGUCACACCCCAAUAAAGCGUGUG